ACUUAAAUUGAAGAGUUUGAUCAUGGCUCAGAUUGAACGCUGGCGGCAGGCCUAACACAUGCAAGUCGAGCGGAAACGGCAGCAUUGA
rnacentral:rRNA from 1 species